rnacentral:lncRNA from 1 species
UGAGGAUGAGUAUAUCGCUUUGUGUCUCAUGCUUCUUGCUCGCGACGGGAAUCGAACCCGCCACCUGCCUUCUUCUUCUUCCUCGCCGCCUCUGCUUCCUACUCUUACUUCUACUCAUCUCCACAAGUGCAGCGUCUGCGACAAGGCGUUUUCUUCUUACCAGGCUCUCGGUGGGCACAAGGCGAGUCACCGGAAAAACUCAUCGCAGACUCAGUCUAGCGGAGGAGAUGAGAAAUCCACGUCGUCGGCGAUAACCAUCGCGAGCCACGGCGGCGGCGGAGGAGGAAGUGUGAAAUCUCACGUUUGCUCGAUCUGCAACAAGUCUUUCGCGACAGGUCAAGCGCUCGGGGGCCACAAACGGUGCCACUACGAAGGCAAGAACGGGAGCAGCAGCGAAGGUGUGGGGUCCACAAGCCACGUCAGCAGCGGCAGCCAUCACCACCACCGUGGGUUUGACCUCAACAUCCCGCCGAUACCGGAAUUCUCGACGGUCAACGGAGAAGAAGAGGUGAUGAGCCCCAUGCCGACCAAGAAACUGAGGCUCGAGUAGAACUUAUAAAGGAGUUACAGAUUCAGCUAGCAGUUACAUGAAUUUGUUAUACUGUACAUAAUACCAAUUUUUAGAUUCCACUUCUUGUUAUUCUUCAUUGAAUCAGUAGUAUUCCUUCUUGUAAUAUUUUUGUGUAGUUUUCUUGUCUUCUUUACCUAAAGUUAUCGUUUAAAGAAAAACGACCUUGUUAAAACUAUUCAAGUACGUUUCAGUUUCUAAAGAACAUAGAUUACAACCUUAUUGGUUCGUUGGACUAGUGUCGUGGGGUGGUAAGACCUAACGUACAAAGUCUCAGCCCAUUUAACUGAUAACAUGUUAAGAGAUUCGUUUGAAGUAGAUAAUGGGUACUAAUUACGUACUGUCUGAUGUUUCUAUGCAGAACAUGACUUCAAUUUUAUUUUAUACAAUACAAAAACGAAAGAUUACCUGCAGCAUUCAAUGGUCUUAUAACAACAUCCACAUUAUUCUUUUUAGACUUUCCAUAGCUAUAUGACUAUAUCUGACACAGAGAGCAUACCUUUUUAAGGUAACAAGUGAGUUCGCAAACUGUUGUCUUUCCAACUCCCUGGAGCCCAGCCACGUGACUUAGAAAACUGUAGCUGAGAUGUUUCUCCACCCAUCAAAUUCACAAGCUUAUCAUCAUGCACAACAUGCAAUAAAAAACCAUAAUACUCCCAACACUUUCGAGACUAAAAUGAUCAUCCCAGAAUGAAGUCAACCAAUAAAUAGUAUAUUAUUUAUUCAUCGGCAGUUUUACAAAUCACUUCUUUUAUAUUAUUUAUUUGUUUGCUUCUUUAUGAAACUUUCAAUGGAUAAGGAUUCUAGAAACAUCCCUAUCAUGGUCCUGGGGUUGAUCAUUCUCCUGAACCACAGCUUCCUUGGGGAUCACAUGUGCUCCCCAUAAGAGUUUAACAUUUUGGCCAUUGAUAACAACCCAUGAAGAGUGCUCUAACAUGGCCUUCUCCGCCCCUUCUCGGGUCGUGUAUGUGAGAAACGCACCGUCAACACCUCUCAUUGCAAAAUAGACGAUAGAUUUGAUUUCUCCAUAAGGGUUGAAACGGUCACGUAUGUGCUGCUCGUGGACACUAGAGUUGAGGCGACGGAGGUAGAGCGUUUUAAGUGUUUGAUCCAAGGGUGGAUCAACAGGGCCCAUGUAAACAUUUCUAGCCAGUAACUCGACGGUUUUUGGAUUGUCUAAACUGCCAACAACCAGAAAUUCACAUAAUAAAAGUGUUUGAGAAAGGCAACAAAGAGAGUGAGAGAUAGAGGUUACCCAGUUCUACUAUCAAAAACUCUGGGAACUUUAUGUGCGAAUGGACAUGUGGCACCAGCCAUACACGUACGACCCGAUUUAAAGAAACCGCAAACUAAUGGAUGGCCAUCAAAACGUCCAAGUUGGCUCUACAUAGAUCAGAUACAAAAAAAAAACAUGAAAAUCAUACAGACUAUUCGAAGCAGCCAUUAUAUGUUAGAAAAAUUCGUAUCCAAACACAAAAGUUCCUCACAAAUUUCCAAACCCUAAACAUAGACUAUUAACACAGAAAACAUCAACAACGAGAAGAGGUGAUAUCCACGAAAAUUCAUUGCCUUUGGACGACGAUCUAUAGGGUUUCUCUGAUCCAUUCUCUUCUACUCCAAUGGCGAUAAACGCGGCUACUUCUCUUUGGAUGAACAGAGGCAAGGGCUAUAUUUAUGCCGGACGUUUCGUUUUAUAAAGAGAAAAAGAUGAAUAUGGUAGGAAAAAAUGAGUUAAAACAAACUUACGGGCCUGUUUGGUGGGCUAGUAUGAUCUAACCUACACGUUUCCCCCAUUUAGUUGAUCAUUAUAAUUGUAUACAUUAUUAUUAUCAAACAAAAGCACCCUUGUUUUUUUUGAACAAAACACCAUCGUUUUUCACGAGCCAUUCAUUCGACAACAUGACAAAUAUAUUGACCUACCUUAUAAUUUGAGAUCUGUCCAAGUGCAUACAUUAUUAUGUAUAUACGUCCAUAUGGUAAAAUUGGGCUCAAUUCCUUGGCAAAAAAAAAAUGGGCUCAAUUAAGAUUAUUGGUUGGUUUGGUUUAUCCUUUUUUGUUGACCAUCAUGUUGUCCCAAAUCAGCUCUUGAUGUGCUCUUCAUUGAUCAGUAUUCUUUCUUGUAUAGGGUAUUUUUCUUGUUUUCUUUAAUUUGUAUUUAACCUAAAGUUGUGCUUCAAGAAAAAAUCCUUCCAAUGUUUCAACACCAAGAUACAUAGAAAAAGAAGAUCUCAACACAAUGGUUAGACAGUGUAAUUAUUAUUGGAAAGCUAUACUUUUAUGUCAUUUUUUUGUCAAUUUCUAUAUGUUUACGUGUUUAGCUUUUGUAAGAAUGUGUUUUUUUUGCAUCAAGGCAGAAACCUUGUCAUAAUAUCUUACUACUUGAUAAGUUUGGUGUUUUUUUGUUUUUUCUUUUGAACUUUAAUCUGUUUUGUUUGAUGUUUGGACGUCGAUGCCAACUAUCUAAAUUUUCUCUUCACUAUUUUUCUUACAUCAAAUUUUCUUUUUACUUGAAUAAAUAUUUCUAAUCGUACUAAUAUUUCUACAAAAGCACACGAUGUUAAAAGAUGGUCUCUUAAAAACAAUCCAAAUUAUAAGAUGUAUUUAAACUCCUUUUACAAAAAAAAAAAUGUAUUUAAACUCCAACAUUUAAAAUGUCACAUUACCAAACAAAAGCACCAUCGGUUUUCACGAGCCUCCCACGAUGUGAUAAAUAUGACCCACCAUCAUCCAAUUAUAUGCGUCCAAAGUGCAUACGUUAGUAUGUAUAUUGAUAUACUAAUGGAUCUCUUAAUUAUUUUUGCAUAAGAGCAUCAUUAUCCUAGAGACCCAUAAUGGAUCUCUUAAUUAUUUUUUUAUAGUAUUUAAGGAAUAAAUUUGGUCAAGAGACUUUGUUAAGAAUUUUCAAUUUUUAUGUCCUCCAUUGCAAGUCUUGUAUUUUAGGAUUCUUAAAAAAAAAUUUGGUUAAAAGAGCUUUCAUCACACUUUCAUUACAUUCGUCUUGUGAAAACCAUCUUUUCCUAAAACUGAGUUCAAAAGAACAUUUCAAAUCUUGAUGCAAGUUUCUAAAGAUGGACACAAAACCAAAUCAAAAGAAGCUCUUAAACCAAUCCAAAACUGGAGCAAACCAAACAAAAAAAACGGACUGUAAAAGUCUAGCGGAGGAGAUGAGAAAUCCACGUCGUCCGCGAUAACCAUCGCUAGCCGCGGCGGCGGCGGAGGAGGAAGUGUGAAACCGCACGUUUGCUCGAUCUGCAACAAGUCUUUCGCGACAGGUCAAGCGCUCGGGGGCCACAAACGGUGCCACUACGAAGGCAAGAACGGGAGCAGCAGCGAAGUUGUGGGGUCCGCAAGCCACGUCAGCAGCGGCAGCCAUCACCACCACCGUGGGUUUGACCUCAACAUCCCGCCGAUACCGGAAUUCUCGACGGUCAACGGAGAAGAAGAGGUGAUGAGCCCCAUGCCGACCAAGAAACUGAGGCUCGAGUAGAACUUAUAAAGGAGUUACAGAUUCAGCUAGCAGUUACAUGAAUUUGUUAUACUGUACAUAAUACCAAUUUUUAGAUUUCAUUUCUUGUUAUUCUUCAUUGAAUCAGUAUUCCUUCUUGUAAUAUUUGUGUAGUUUUCUUAUCUUCUUUACCUAAAGUUGUCGUUUAAAGAAAAAGACCCUGCUAAAAC